UACGUAGGGUGCAAGCGUUAAUCGGAAUUACUGGGCGUAAAGCGUGCGCAGGCGGUGAUGUAAGUCAGAUGUGAAAUCCCCGGGCUCAACCUGGGAAUUGCAUUUGAGACUGCGCGGCUAGAGUGUGUCAGAGGGGGGUAGAAUUCCACGUGUAGCAGUGAAAUGCGUAGAGAUGUGGAGGAAUACCGAUGGCGAAGGCAGCCCCCUGGGAUAACACUGACGCUCAUGCACGAAAGCGUGGGGAGCAAACAGG
rnacentral:rRNA from 1 species